rnacentral:rRNA from 1 species
GUGGAUUAGAUACCCUGGUAGUCCACGCUGUAAACGAUGAAUACUAGGUGUGGGUGGACUAACCCCCUCCGUGCCGCAGUUAACACAAUAAGUAUUCCACCUGGGGAGUACGGCCGCAAGGUUGAAACUCAAAGGAAUUGACGGGGGCCCGCACAAGCAGUGGAUUAUGUGGUUUAAUUCGAAGCAACGCGAAGAACCUUACCAGGGCUUGACAUCCAACUAACGAAGCAGAGAUGCAUUAGGUGCCCUUCGGGGAAAGUUGAGACAGGUGGUGCACGGCUGUCGUCAACU